GUGGCAUGCACUUCGGCAGCACAUAAACUAAAAUGCAAACAAAACAGAGAAGACUAGCGUGACCUCUGUGCAAGGAUGACAUGCAAAUAUCGGUAAGCAUUCCAGUUUUUA
rnacentral:snRNA from 1 species